rnacentral:rRNA from 1 species
UACGUAGGGUGCGAGCGUUGUCCGGAAUUAUUGGGCGUAAAGAGCGUGUAGGCGGUUCGGUAAGUCUGCCGUGAAAACCUGGGGCUCAACCUCGGGCGUGCGGUGGAUACUGCCGGGCUAGAGGGUGGUAGAGGCGAGUGGAAUUCCCGGUGUAGCGGUGAAAUGCGCAGAUAUCGGGAGGAACACCAGUAGCGAAGGCGGCUCGCUGGGCCAUUCCUGACGCUGAGACGCGAAAGCUAGGGGAGCGAACAGG